GAGACUAGAACGUUGAUAGGCAGGGUGUGUAAGCGUUGUGAGGCGUUGAGCUAACCUGUACUAAUUGCCCGUGAGGCUUAACCAU
rnacentral:rRNA from 1 species